UUGAGUAUUGCUCAGCAGCCACCACAAUAAAUAAUAAUACGACCCCUCUUCAAUAACCAUCAAUCCACUUCAUUCGCUGUUCUAGAAUUCUCGCAACAAAUUCAACUUCAACCCUAUCUCCUGCCAUCCUUUUCACACUCUCAAAGCCAUUAACACAAUGAUUCCGUAUCUCCGUCCACAACAGUUUUGAACUUCAUAUAUGAUGGAUACUGCAUCACAAUCUGAAGCGAUGUACCUGAGCAAAGAUGCCCGGAAAAUAGUUUGGGACUCCAUUGACACGGUUGUAAGCGCACAUGAUUCCGCUAGCUUGGGCAUUUUGUAUGCAACUUUGGAAAGGCGGUUGAUACGUGUCGGCAAGAUCUUGCUUCGUCACCUGUUUUUGUAUUUUCGCGCAUGAUUAGUGUUGCAUGUAUUCCAUACUCUGAGUAAAGACAUAAUAAAAUGGGUCGCUCUAAUGAGGCCUGAUCUGACUCAUCGGUCUUAA